rnacentral:rRNA from 1 species
UGGGGAAUUUUGGACAAUGGACGCAAGUCUGAUCCAGCCAUGCCGCGUGCAGGAUGAAGGCCUUCGGGUUGUAAACUGCUUUUGUACGGAGCGAAAAGGUCUGCCCUAAUACGGUGGGCUCAUGACGGUACCGUAAGAAUAAGCACCGGCUAACUACGUGCCAGCAGCCGCGGUAAUACGUAGGGUGCAAGCGUUAAUCGGAAUUACUGGGCGUAAAGCGUGCGCAGGCGGUUAUGCAAGACAGAGGUGAAAUCCCCGGGCUCAACCUGGGAACUGCCUUUGUGACUGCAUAGCUAGAGUACGGUAGAGGGGGAUGGAAUUCCGCGUGUAGCAGUGAAAUGCGUAGAUAGGCGGAGGAACACCGAUGGCGAAGGCAAUCCCCUGGACCUGUACUGACGCUCAUGCACGAAAGCGUGGGGAGCAAACA